rnacentral:rRNA from 1 species
GAUGAACGCUGGCGGCGUGCUUAACACAUGCAAGUCGAACGAAGCAUUUGCGACAGAUUUUUUCGGAAUGAAGUUGCUUAUGACUGAGUGGCGGACGGGUGAGUAACGCGUGGGUAACCUGCCUUGUACUGGGGGAUAGCAGCUGGAAACGGCUGGUAAUACCGCAUAAGCGCACAAUGUUGCAUGACAUGGUGUGAAAAACUCCGGUGGUAUAAGAUGGACCCGCGUCUGAUUAGCUAGUUGGUGAGAUAACAGCCCACCAAGGCGACGAUCAGUAGCCGACCUGUGAGAGUGACCGGCGACAUUGGGACGGAGACACGGCCCAGACUCCUACGGGAGGCAGCAGUGGGGAAUAUUGCACAAUGGAGGAAACUCUGAUGCAGCGACGCCGCGUGAGUGAAGAAGUAAUUCGUUAUGUAAAGCUCUAUCAGCAGGGAAGAUAGUGACGGUACCUGACUAAGAAGCUCCGGCUAAAUACGUG